AGGAUGGAACUGCAAUCUUCUCCUUUAUUUUUAAAUACUUUACACCAGACGUCUUCCACAGGGGGUCCGCGGAGGUACUACAGGAGGGUCGCGAAAUGUUUGGUUGAUAAGACCAAUUUUUUUUCCCUAAAUGUAAUUGUCUAUUAAUACAAAUUAACAUGAAUCCAACAUAUUGUGAGGCUGAUUUGACCCUCUGCAUGACAAUCUCCAUCCGUCCAUGGUUACAGCUCACUAAUUUAGAGCACUCCGCUCCCAGAAUUCAAGCCUACUUGUCGUCCCUAAAUUCUCUAAAAGUAGAGUAGGAGCCAGAGCUUUUAGCCAUCAAGACCCUCGGCUGUGGAAUAAUCUACCACUUUCAGUUCGGGAGGCAGUCACCAUCUGUUCGUUUAAAAGUAGGCUCAAAACCUUCCUUUUUGAUAAAGCUUAUAGUUAGAGCUAAUUAGUGCGCCAGAACGUUACUUGUUCUAUUUUAUGACACAUGACACACGGAGCUUCUCCUUCCUCUUCUCCAUCCCUAUCCCCCUUCCCCGGAAUCCCUUUGCUUUAUCACCCGCAGAUCCAGGGCCUCUGUGGCACCAUGGAUUACGGUUUGUGGAUCGCGCACCGGGGGUCGCGGUGUUGGAUCCAGUGUGGCGGAUUCUGAGUCAUGUGGGCUGAUCGUGGUGCUGGUGGCGGACCCUGUGUCGCGUUGGCAUUGGGCACGGGCGGUGGACCAGGACCGCAGUGGUGGCUUGUGAUGGGUCCUCCUGGUGGGCGGCGGUGGACGGUGACUGAGGACUGAAGUGGCGUCUGGUCUGGAUGGUGGAUCGUGGUCUAGAUGGUUGCUGAGCAUGGACUGUGCUUCAUCAAUGCUGCUAGAGACAUUGAUUAUUGAUGAUGUUCUCCUGCACGUGGCAUCUAUUGCACUUCUGUCCGUCCUGGGAGAGGGAUCCCUCACAUGUGGCUCUCUCUGAGGACACUUCGGCAUGCAGAUGGGUCAGACUGGGGAUCGAACCGCCGACCUUCAGGUUGGAGGACGACCACUCUACCCCUCUGCCACAGCCGCGCAUCAGCACCGCAGAUUUAUCCUGAGAAUUGCCACAACCAAAAUAACUCCAGACUUGGAUGCACUGGCAAAAAUGGGAGAUCAACAACACUGUGCCCACUGAAACUGAAAGUGAUGAUGUUUUGCUGCAUUGAGGUUGGAGCCAAAACUCUGACACAGCCUGCGUGGCUGCUCUAACCUGUUAAUGUAGAUAAUAAAGAAGUUCAAGUGAGGUAAUCGGUUUGGUAGCAGACCUCAGAUGUUUUCAUGAUGUUUGAUCAGUCACGGUACGACAUGUUUUUGUAUUGUUCAAGUUCGUAUAAAUUGUUAAAUUGCCUUGCAAAUAAAUGCUUUGCUACCUGUAAA